GGAGAUAUUCGCGGAGCGGACCU
rnacentral:siRNA from 1 species